AGGCUACACAAUCAUGGGGAAGACUGCUGAUCUGACAGUUGUCCAGAAGACAGUCAUUGACCCCCUUCACAAGGAGGGGCUCAAACGCUGAGGAUCCACACCCAUAUCCCGAUGGCAGUUCGUGAUGGGUGCUGCCCAAGAGAGGCAUGGUAAAGCAAAGGGAGGGCGGUGGGACCCCGAGGCGCGGCGAGGAUGGGGUGCCGCCUAAAGAAGAAAGUGACAGUCCAAAUGUCCCGCCCGCCGCUGUGGUGGUGCUGCUAAUCACCCCAGAGGAAGUGGAUAUGGACGAGCUGCCCAGGAGCGAGCUGUUUCCCGGGUGUGAGUGAGCCAGCAGUGGGUUGGGUGGAGGCGCAGGCACAGAUAAAAGCCGCCCCUGUUCAAGCAGCCGCAAGAUGUUGCAUGUGGCAAGCGAUUCAGUAGUGGAUGACGACCGUUUGUCUGCGUCAUUGGUCUGGUCCUUCUUCUGUUUGGUGCGGCGGUUUUGAAACCACACUUUCACCUGCCAAACGAGAGAAAAAGUUGUAAGAGAAAUUGAUACACCAAUGUGGAAAACCGAUGAAGAGAGAGACUAGACUUGUGAUUCAUUAGCUUCAUAAAUACAUUUUAUAUAGACAACAGUGCUAUCAGGUUUUUUUCUAAAUGUAGGAAUUAAAUGGUCUCUUCUUCACUCUAAA